UCAUGGGGCAUGCCGGGAAAUGUAGUUUAGCAUUACUGCUCGGCUUCCAAGCCAGGAGUGGCAUGUUGCUCUGGGCCGUUAUUUCCUCCCCUAGACAGUGUGGCGUGCAUUUUUUCUGCUGUUUUUGAGAGGGUACUGCAGGCUGAGCGGUGCCGUGCAUGCACGUUCUUUUUUCCUUUGAGUGAUGUUACUACAUUGCUUUUUUAUUUUUUUGGCGUGUAAUGUGUUAUGCUCCUAGAUUUUUCUUCCUGUGUGAAAGAAAGGUGACUGGGUUUGGGUGCUGGGUGGAACCUAAUGGUAUAUGAGCCCCAGGUAUGGCAUCAGAGAGCUCAUUCUGCCUGGGCUGCUUCUUGGGGUGAUUUGGCUUGGGUGCUGGGUGAGACCAAAGGUAUGCUAUAUGAGCCCCAGGUAUGCUAUCAGAGCUCCUUCUGCCUGGGCUGAUCUUUGGGGAGCUGGAUCACCCUGACAGGCUGAACGGUAACACAAGCCCGAAUUGACCCUGAAAGCAGGCCCAACCCCUUGAUUGAAGGUGUUUGCCUAUUAUGAUCCAGCUACGUGGGCAGAAGAUGGAUCCUG
rnacentral:lncRNA from 1 species